CACCAUCGCUCGCUACUGGCAGAGUCAUACCGCUGCCAACCAUAUCCUGAGCCAACCAUAUCUUGCAGUGCAGACCCUUUUUCCGAGCGGUUCAGCGGAGCAUGCACAGCACAAAUGGCCAUUUUGAGUCGCUUGGUGACAUGAUGAUUCGAGGACCAUUACCGGCAAACCCACCUUCAGUUUUAACUUAUGGUCUGGGAUUCCUGGGACGUCAAGGUGUUGAGGAACUCAAUAUGCAAGUGCAUUUGGAGAUAUAAGGGACUACUAAUGAAGAUGUCACAUACAGUACAGUUGGAGAUCAAUGUUAUUUAUCUGGGGAAAACUUGAAGAAUUGCAUGUGGAUAUUACCCAAGGUUGAUGGUGCCGAUGCCGUGUCUUCAGUUUGUUGGGCGUUUCUUUGUGCCUUCGAUCGUUUCGGCAUCGCGGGCGUAUAUUGGAUGCAAGUUGCUGGAGUUGUUACCAUGCCUUCAAUUUGUCGGCCGUCUCGUCCCUUUGAUUGUCCUGAUAUCUUGAAUAAGGAUCUAUUGAGAAAGUGCAUCAUGGGUCAUUUAGAAAUGUUUGUCUUGUAAAAAUAUAGUUGAAAUUAUGUGAUAUAAGCAGAAGGGAUGAGUGUGUGACCAUACCUCUUAUUUGUUUUCUGAGACUGAUCUAGCAAUUUGUAUCUUCACGUAGGGAUUUGUAUUAUUUAAAUUACCUGAGAGCAGAGGUUCUAUGAGAAUAUGUUAGCUUGUAAUAAGGAUGUCAAAAUAAUAUGCUUAUUAAAAAGAGGAAAUACAUAAUACCC